rnacentral:misc_RNA from 1 species
AACGCAUAUUGCGCCCUUUGGUAUUCCGAGGGGCAUGCCUGUUCGAGCGUUAUUUACAUUCUCAAGCAUUGCUUGGUAUUGGAGGCCGCCCCGGCGGGGCACCCCCGAAACAUAGCGGCGACGUAGCCGGACUCUCUGGCGUAGUGACUUUUUCUAUCGCCCCGGAGUUGUCGGUCGUGCGUCAGCCGGACAACACCCUCUUUCUGAAAAUCGACCUCGGAUCAGGCAGGACUACCCGCUGAACUUAA